AACGAACGCUGGCGGCAUGCCUAACACAUGCAAGUCGAACGAGACCUUCGGGUCUAGUGGCGCACGGGUGCGUAACGCGUGGGAACCUGCCUUUAGGUUCGGAAUAACUCAGAGAAAUUUGAGCUAAUACCGGAUGAUGUCUUCGGACCAAAGAUUUAUCGCCUUUGGAUGGGCCCGCGUUGGAUUAGCUAGUUGGUGGGGUAAAGGCCUACCAAGGCGACGAUCCAUAGCUGGUCUGAGAGGAUGAUCAGCCACACUGGGACUGAGACACGGCCCAGACUCCUACGGGAGGCAGCAGUGGGGAAUAUUGGAGAAUGGGCGAAAGCCUGAUCAAGCAAUGCCGCGUGAGUGAUGAAGGCCUUAGGGUUGUAAAGCUCUUUUACCCGAGAUGAUAAUGACAGUAUCGGGAGAAUAAGCUCCGGCUAACUCCGUG
rnacentral:rRNA from 1 species